rnacentral:sRNA from 1 species
CAGGAGGAGAUGCUUCAGAGAGAGGAAGCCGAGAACACCCUGCAAUCUUUCAGACAGGAUGUUGACAACGCGUCUCUGGCACGUCUUGACCUUGAACGCAAAGUGGAAUCUUUGCAAGAAGAGAUUGCCUUUUUGAAGAAACUCCACGAAGAGGAAAUCCAGGAGCUGCAGGCUCAGAUUCAGGAACAGCAUGUCCAAAUUGAUGUGGAUGUUUCCAAGCCUGACCUCACGGCUGCCCUGCGUGACGUUCGUCAGCAAUAUGAAAGCGUGGCUGCCAAGAACCUGCAGGAGGCAGAAGAAUGGUACAAGUCCAAGGUAGGAAACAAAUCAGUGCGGCUUCAACCAAAGAAAAGCAUUGUGUUCUCAAAACCCCAUACCUGUGUGUGAUUCCUAAAUAUCCUCUAGCUCCAAUGCAAAGCUGGCUUUGACUUCAUGCUCAUAUUGUGUUUGUCGCCACAGCCUCCCGACCACUCACAUCACCUCCUUUAUUUAUUUAUUUAUUUUCUUA